GAUGAAGAACGUAGCGAACGUGCGAAACGUAAUGUGAAUUGCAGAAUUCAGUGAAUCAUCGAAUCUUUGAACGCAUCUUGCGCUCCUCGGUAUUCCGAGGAGCAUGCCUGUUUGAGUGUCGUGAAUACUCUCAACUUCAACCCUUUUUUCGGAAAGGGAGGAAGGUUGGACUUGGGUGUUUGUUGAAGUGCGAGCUUCGACUCAUCCUAAAUGCAUUAGCGAUCUGCCUCGAUCACACACAAUGUGAUAAUUAAAACUAAAGCAUUGUUUAAUGAUCAAGUCGAGACUGCUUCUAACUGUCGCAAGACAAUAACGUGCAUACAUUUGUGCAUGUCAUUUGACCUCAAAUCAGGUAGGACUACCCGCUGAACUUAAGCAUAUCAAUAAGCGGAGGA
rnacentral:misc_RNA from 1 species